rnacentral:rRNA from 1 species
CCAAUUUUUUUUUUUUUACUCCUUGCCGAGCAGCAGUGGGGAAUAUUGCACAAUGGGCGCAAGCUGAUGCAGCCAUGCCGCGUGUGUGAAGAAGGCCUUCGGGUUGUAAAGCACUUUCAGUCAGGAGGAAAGGUUAGUAGUUAAUACCUGCUAGCUGUGACGUUACUGACAGAAGAAGCACCGGCUAACUCCGUGCCAGCAGCCGCGGUAAUACGGAGGGUGCGAGCGUUAAUCGGAAUUACUGGGCGUAAAGCGUACGCAGGCGGUUUGUUAAGCGAGAUGUGAAAGCCCCCGGGCUCAACCUGGGAACUGCAUUUCGAACUGGCAAACUAGAGUGUGAUAGAGGGGUGGUAGAAUUUCAGGGUGUAGCGGUGAAAUGCGUAGAGAUCUGAAGGAAUACCGAUGGCGAAGGCAGCCACCUGGGUCAACACUGACGCUCAUGUACGAAAGCGUGGGGAGCAAACAGGAUUAGAUACCCUGGUAGUCCACGCCGUAAACGAUGUCUACUAGAAGCUCGGAACCUCGGUUCUGUUUUUCAAAGCUAACGCAUUAAGUAGACCGCCUGGGGAGUACGGCCGCAAGGUUAAAACUCAAAUGAAUUGACGGGGGCCCGCACAAGCGGUGGAGCAUGUGGUUUAAUUCGAUGCAACGCGAAGAACCUUACCUACACUUGACAUACAGAGAACUACCAGAGA